AUGUUUAUGACUUAUGGAACUAUUAUUGACCUAUGGACUUGACAGCAGGGGCGAAGCCACAUACAAGGAAUAGAAGAACAGUACCAUGUCUGAAACCUCUGAAAUGCUGGAAGAAGGGUGCACUGAAUCUAAAAUGAGUCUGAAUGAGGAGAUUGAGCAGACAAGCAUACCAGGGUCUCCAGAAACCAGCUGUGUGUCUAUGAAGAGUGACGCAUCCUUACCUUGUAAUAUUAAUUUUAGUGAUGGAGCAGUGACUUCUGACCUCAGAGAUAGAGAGGAAACUGAUCUGGGUUCAGUCAAAAUGUGGAGUUUGUGAGCAGGUUUUGAGAGACCCGGUCUCUGUUACAUGUGGACACAGUUUCUGCAGACAGUGCAUCAGUAUUUACUGGGAUCAUUCCAGACCAUCAGAAGACUUUAACUGUCCUCAGUGUGGAAGGAGAUCCAGAACAAACAGAGUCACAAGAAGAUCCAGUUCAGCUGGCUUUGCUCACCUGCAGGAGGAGACUGGAGAUAUACAGAAAACAGCAGAUAAUGUACUACAGAAAAUCAAAGACCAG